rnacentral:tRNA from 1 species
CGGGAUGUAGCGCAGGCUGGUAGCGCAUUCGCUUUGGGAGCGAAGGGUCGUAGGUUCAAAUCCUAUCAUCCCGA